GCAAGCGCGGUCGGCAAUGGAGCCGUUUGGAUUAUUGCUGGGUUUUGACGCCGCCUUGAGGUGCCUGAUUGAUAAACGAUCAACCCCGUUAUACCCCAGCGGAUCUUGCCCGGCUGUUUUGAUAUCUCCAUCGUCAGGCCACCUUAAAAAAGAUACAAAGCCAGCAAAAUUAUUUUUUGCUCCCAUCUUUAUAGUAAAGGUGUAGCAUAUGAUAGGGAAAGAAAUGGGCUACAUUAUCUAGCUUAGAUUACACGAAUCACAUUAUGAAAUCUAAUGUGCCUGAAGGAGGAUUUAGUAGUAAAUUAAGAAUAGAGUGCUUAAUUGAAUUAGGCAAUAGGGCGCGCACACACCGCCCGUCACCCUCCUCAACUCAACCUACAAAAAUACUUAAUAAUAUAUCUAAGUAAAGAGGAGAAAAGUCGUAACACGGUAAGUGUACUGGAAAGUGCACUUGGAAUAUCAAAAUG
rnacentral:ncRNA from 1 species